GCUCGUUUGUCUUUUCGCUUCGAAAUAAAGACAACCUGUCGCCAUUCAAAUGUCCAAUUUAUAAUCAUCGAAAUGACAAAGCAAUCAGCUGUUUUUCUGGCAGGGGAGCAACCUUUGGUCAUUAUGAUCUGUUGAUCAGUGGCAAUGCCAAUGCAAAUCUACAUUCAUACAGCGACCUUGGUGACACAUACCAACCUCCUGAAGGAUACCAAUAUGGCACUCCACAAACCAAAGCACUACUGGCGGGCAGUCGCAAAUUCACACCAAAUGAAAUUGAGGUUUUUCGCCGUUAGAGAUUAAAUUUAAAACUGAACGGUAACUAUUUCAAUCCUUCUAAAAUAAAAAUUAAGGUUACGAGUACAGAUCAUAAACCCAGGCCUAGCCACACCUCCCCCCCCAUUUGCCGGCCCCUUUUGAAGCGAAAAAUCGAAGGGAGAGAGGGCCAGAAAACCCGUCUUUCUUGACGAAAAACCAUUAAAAUUUUCGACGUGGAAUUUGAUUGGCUCAGUUUUAUUGGUCAAUUUUAAAAGCCACAAUUUGUUCAGUUUGGUCCCAAAAGCCAAGUUUUCUUGCAGGCCUCUUCUCCCUUUUUGUGCUUUAGCAAUUAAUCUGAACUAGAUGUCCCACUUUAUAGAACGGCUGUUGGGCGGCGUUCAUUUUUGUACAGGGGAACAAAAUUAUAAAAUAAUUUACCGAAAGACAUAAAAGAAACUUCCAGUCUGGAAAUAUUAAAAAAUUCAAUCAGACAGUUUUUGUAUAAGGAGUUGACUGCUUAAUACUUGUAAUACCC